UGCUGUCGCCCUAUAAAGCCCAGAGCCGGAGCUCUCCACCCCGCCUGCCUGCAGGUAGCGAGGCAGCAGCGGUAGCAGCAGCGGACGGGCCAUGGGGACGGCGCUGGCAGCGCGGAUGGGGCUCCUGCUUCUGGCGCUUCUCUUCCCCCUGCAGACUUACUGCACCCAAAAUGGAACAACCCCAGCAUUCUCCAGAAAUAAUUCUACAGCAAGUUCCACUUUUAUGCCAGCUGUCACAAAUUCACCGAACAAUACCACCAUGCAGGGAAAUGGAAAUUCCCUGCAUUCAACCACAGCUCUUGUCUUCCUUCUCUCAAUUUCUCUUCUACAUUUUUGCUGUUAAGCAUCUCUGGCUGGGAAACAGCUACCAUUCCCCACCCAAAAAUUGAACCUUUUGAGCUGGCGACAUCUGCAAACCCAGCAUGAAAUGAACCAGACAAAACUUCUGCAUCAAAGCACCUUGAUUUCAUUCCAUAGUUUAAUUGGUACCAGUCUGAUCUAGAGAAUCUCUGUCUUCGAUGUUCCAAAGCUGAAUGAUGUGAAAAGGAUUUGAUCAACUGCAACCAGAAAGUAAAUGAAAGGAUUCUAGCGCAAAGCCAGCAAGAAUUUGAAAAGCAAGAUGAAAGCAUAACGAAAUGAUGUUCAGAAUUUCUGAUUUCAAGAUGAGAAGAUGUAAAACGCAACAGUAAACAAAGGGUAAAGACUUCCCUUUAGGGGGUGGGAUUAAAAAAAGGGUAGAUGGUAAUUCUAAUGGUGCAAAAUAAGGAGUUGAGGGGGUUUAUUUUUCACUUAAAUUAAUUGACGUCUAUAAGCUCAUAAAACCCCCCUAAAAUAUACAAAAAACUUAUGAGUCUCUCUGACUCUACAAUUAUUGAAAUGAAUCCAAUAGAAACAAAACAGUAACACUAAAAUGGGUUUCUUCUAGUUUCCUCUUUGCCUGGUAUUACCCUGAGGAUAAAAUAGGACACUAAACUUUUACAUGAAAUUCUUUCUGUGAAUAUUCAACCAUUGAAUAUCUGGGGCAGUUUAAAAUAUUUAGGAAUCAUUGUUUAUCAGAAGAGCUGGAUCUGACACUUUAUUUAAAUAUUUGUGUAUUAAACCAUAUGUGCCAGAGGAAGGAAGUACUGGAAACUCAGAAGAAGCCCAGGAGCAUUUUAUAAAUGUGGUUUAUACAAAAUAAUGUCAAGGGAGAAACAUCUCUCCCACCCUGCUCCUCAAAUUCAAUGAUUUCCAGUUUGUUUGGCUCCUGAUCCCUCCUUAAUUGUGAAGUGUUUGUGGAAUCUCUUGAGUAAUUCUCAAAUACUGUGUGGGGUUGGUUGGUGGUUUUUUGUUGUUGUUUUUUUGUUCUGGCACAAUUUGAAGAACUUUCACUGUUUUGAAGAUUUUCAAUAGUGACGUUUUACUUUAAAGAUUAGUUAAUUUCGGUUUGGGGGAAAGCACUGAAAGCCAAAAAUCAGAAAUGAAAUGAUUGGAAGUUGGUAAAGUUAAAUCAAGUUUAAAAAAAUAGUUUUUUGUAUUACAUCUGUAAAUACUUUUUUUUUAAGUAUGAAUCAACAAUGCUACACUUGCACAGAUGUUUCUCUAGCAUCAAACAUUUUAAGUACAUGGUACUCCAUGCAAAACUGGCUCUAGUGAGGCAAGUUCAACUAUCUUGAUGCUAAAAUCUUUUUUUUUUUUUUUUUAAUUUGAACAAGUAAUGGCCAUUGUUGUUGAUAUGCUCAGAUAUGAAUAUUUAGAUUGCCCAAUACAAAUUCAUGUCAAAUCACUAAAUUGUUCGUUAUUUCAAAAAAAAUCCACUAUCUGAUUUGUCAAUGAUUUUAAUAUCGAUGAAGACAGUAAAAUAUUAAGGAUGCAGUAUCAUAAAUUAUUGCUUUUUGGGUUGGGUAUGUAUGAACACUUCCUUUGUUUUUGUAAGCGGUUAAUGUUUAUAUAAUUAUGCUUUGAUUCAUUAGCUAUUGAUUUUCAGUGGACAUAAACUGUAAAUAAAGAAAUAAAAUGCUAACUGCCCUCCCAUACCAUCCUUCUCCAGAAUCUUGUAACUCACCUGCACAGUAUAAAUAAAUUGUUCAAGUAAUACAGUAUUUGUGAUUAAAACUGGCAAGAUCUAGAAA